UGGUGGCGAGUGGCGAACGGGUAAGUAAUACAUCGGAACAUGUCCUGUAGUGGGGGAUAGCCCGGCGAAAGCCGGAUUAAUACCGCAUACGAUCUACGGAUGAAAGCGGGGGACCUUCGGGCCUCGCGCUAUAGGGUUGGCCGAUGGCUGAUUAGCUAGUUGGUGGGGUAAAGGCCUACCAAGGCGACGAUCAGUAGCUGGUCUGAGAGGCCGACCAGCCACACUGGGACUGAGACACGGCCCAGACUCCUACGGGAGGCAGCAGUGGGGAAUUUUGGACAAUGGGCGAAAGCCUGAUCCAGCAAUGCCGCGUGUGUGAAGAAGGCCUUCGGGUUGUAAAGCACUUUUGUCCGGAAAGAAAUCCAUUAGCCCUAAUACGGUCGGGGGAUGACGGUUCCGGAAGAAUGUUCACCGGCU
rnacentral:rRNA from 1 species